rnacentral:rRNA from 1 species
AUUGAACGCUGGCGGCAGGCCUAACACAUGCAAGUCGAACGAGUGGCGGACGGGUGAGUAAUGUCUGGGAAACUGCCUGAUGGAGGGGGAUAACUACUGGAAACGGUAGCUAAUACCGCAUACCAUCAGCUUUGCCCAGAUUGGAUUAGCUAGUUGUGGGGGUAACGGCUCACCAAGGCGACGAUCCCUAGCUGGUCUGAGAGGAUGACCAGCAACACUGGAAAGGAGACACGGUCCAGACGCCUACGUGAGGCAGCAGUGGGGAAUAUUGCACAAUGGGCGCAAGCCUGAUACAGCCAUGACGCGUGUAUGAAGAAGGCCUUCGGGUUGUAAAGUACUUUCAGCGGGGAGGCGUGACCCGCAGAAGAAGCACCGGCUAACUCCGUGCCAGCAGCCGCGGUAAUAC